AAAAUCCACCCCCCCCCCCCAAAAAAAAAAAAAAAAAAAUAAUUAAAAACCCGGCUGCAGCGAGCGGGGACCCCCGAAAGUUGCGCGGAGGCGAGAGCGAUGAGGCAAGAGAGAAGUUUUUAAAAACAGGAAAAUGUGAUUGCAGAAACAUCAUUGUUGGCUGGAGGACUCGGUGGAUUCAGAUAUAACUGUAGGUGCUUCUUGUAUGAAAGAGCUGAGCCACACCAUCCAGUAAACUGUCUAAAGCAGCAGUUGGCUUGCUUGGAAAUCACUUCCAGAACUGUGUUGUAAGUUGAUACCGACUGAGUUUCCAGAACAUUGCCCUACAAAGCUUUGGAGGGCCACUUAAUGGAUUGCUGUAGCCUCUUAAUUUCUCCAUUGAUCCUGUUCCCUGCAUCGUGAGAACAUUUUAGCCAGCGCAGAACCUAGAAAAGUUACAUAACGGUUCCCUCGGAGGAGCCCUGGCGCUGUGCUGCUUCUCCUUUCAGGCUGCUGCCCUGAAAGGCUCUGUAAGCAUCAGCAGUGCCUGCAUUGCCAACUGCAGCUCCUUCCAGUGAGCUUCUCGUGUGGGGCACAGAGCUGGCUGCCCCGCCAAAAGCCAGGGCUGACACACAGCAGCAACAGCCAUCAAGAACACUGCCAUCGCGGGGUGGUCAUCCUGUCCAGGAGCAUGGUUCGGGAGCCUGCAGCUUUGUUAGCGAUUGUUGGUGAAAUCCCACUGCCUCCCUGCAUGCUCAUCACUCAGGAGGGGCAGGGCAUGGGCAUGGCAUGUUUGUACGUGCCUCUGAACGCACGCAGAAAAUGUGACUGAUGCGGGAAGAACUGUGCUUGGCUGCACAGGCUGGGGUAGGGUGGAGGAAGCCGUGCACAGAUUUACUAGGGGCUGAGGGGGCUGAAGACCCCUUCCGACCUCCCCCGUGUGGGUAUUUCCUGGUGUGUGUUAUGUGCGUGGAUGUUUCCUUCCAGGAUGGGGAGUGGCUGUGGUGCCGUGCACACAUUUACCCCCAGCAUGGCUGAAUCUUCCUCUGAGGCUGCAUGUUGUGUCAUUCUGGGAAUGGGUCAGUGGGCUAUUCUAGAGGGGAGAAAUCGGCUUGACCCUUUUUAAACCUGUCAGCAGUCCUGGGAGGGAUCUGUGGAUGGAAGGAGUCUCUGGAGCAUUGCGAGGAUGGCGUGGAUGUGGUGGGCUGUGCAGUCCAGAGGAUGGGACACCCCAGAGCUGCCAAGCUGGGAAAAAGGCUUAAGUACAACUGCAUUUUUUUUUCUAUAAAUAAAAAGCAAAUCCCAUUGUGGUUGGGAGCUUUUUGUCUUUUGGAUGAUGACAUAGAGCAGCUUGGCAAAAUAUCAUCUGAACCAGAGAUGAUUCAGAAUUGUGGUUCACAGUGUCGUGCUGUCUAGCAGUUUCCAGCGUCAGUUGUGCCUUAAUCCAGGACUCUAAACAGAAGAGAAAACAUGGAGGGGAGGAGAAAUCGGACACAAAACCCGUCGCCCAGCUUCAGAGCCGGGGCUGCUCAGCUCACACCACACUGCCUUUAAGUAGCAGCGAUGCUCCUUAAUCUUGAUGCAUCUGAAUCCUGCUCUGCACUCCCGCCUGCCCGGGCAGAGGUGACAGCCGGCAGCUGGUCGGAUAACACCACCAGAAAAACCACAGGGGAAUCUGGGGAAUGAGCGGUCACGCUGGUGCGAGGCGCAGGACUCACCCCAGCCUCUAUAAGGACAUCUGCUGUCCAGUGACCGCGCAGAUCUUAAAUCUUGUUAUGCUGACUGUGGGGUCUGGAGGUUUCCAAGCCGCAGCUACCGAGCGGCAAAAGGACAGAAGUGGGAAUUUCUUUAAAAACACUGGAAGAUGGAGGAGGAUAUGGGGGAUUGCAACUGAAAGUAAAAGAAGGAACAUUUUCUUCUUUCUCUCCUGACAUAAGCACUGACGUGCUGGUCAGCAAGGCUGGCAUCCUGCCCUUGUUUUUUCACUGCAGUAAUAAAUUCAUGCUCUGCAGCUUAAUGACUAAUCAGGGCAGGAGAGUGAAGUCAGCCACCGCACUUGUUCUGGCCAGUUUUGCUUGAAUGCUUGCUAACACCAUUUUUAAUCUUAGGAAUCAAUUCGUAAUAUUGCUUCUCAAAAAAAAAUUUGUAUUUUGGAACCAAAGAAUUUAUGUUAGAAGCAUACUUCAUAUGAGGUACUUUGUUUGCUUAUCUGACACUACAAGUAGCACUCAAACAAACAAAAAAAAAUUAUAUCGCAAAAGGAGUGCAGGAUUUUUUAAUGCUUAUGGGAAGUCAAUUUUUAAAGAGAAGAGACAACAUUUUCUGGUGUUACCAGCAAAAAUAACAGUGAAACUGUAGGCAAUGGAGAAAGGAUUGGUAGAAACAGAAUUUGCUGUCAAAGAGACCUGAGAAGGUGUUGUUUUGAUUUUGUUUUCCGGAAAAGGGAGAGUCUUGCCAUUUCGUUGUGGGCUUGUCAAUAGAUGGUGCAGUUAUUAGACAAACCCCCAAUAGCAGGCAUCAUCUGACUGUGUGAGAAUUUUGGAUCUCGCUUGAAACAUGUUCCUAGUGCCUGUCUUAAGGGAAGGAAACUUAAAAAUAUGAGUUGUAACAGCUAGGCAGGCAGAAACAACCCUUUGUUCAUUAGCCCUACUUAGCAACAUUGUCGUGGGACUUGGAAGCCUUAUUCACAAUUUUGCAGGCUUUUCUCAUGAUUUCUGAAAAGCCUGUAAUGAGGCAUCUUGCAAAUUCCCUAAUAAAAACCCUUUCAGAGGAACUAACUUUAAAAAUGGCAUCCUUCUUAGCAGAUGUGAAGAAGCAGACAGAGACUGGAUGGACAUAAAUGGAGAAAAACACUCAUUCCCUGUCCACAGCCAAAACAAGCUGGUAGAAGUGCAUAGGAAGUUUUGUCCUGCUGUUUCUCAUGCCGUGAAUAAUCAGAAAUCUCCAUUUCCAAGAGUAAAGCCAUGGCUGAGAACCAAAUGAAGUUGAAAAGCAGAAGGAUUUAGAAGCUGUCAUAAACUGUGUGCCUUCCUUAUUUAUUUUUACUGUGUCCGUGUGCUCAAGGUACACCAAAACUUUGGAAUAUGCCACGUGCUCCAACUCCUGGAGGUGCAGGUGUCACCUCGUAGGUUGUCAGCUGGGGUUACAGCGGUUGCACGAGCAGACCUGUGCUGGUGGAGCUGGGCGCAGGGCAAGCCGUCAGGUGCUCCCUUGGUUUCCCAGUGUUAUUCACAAGCCCUCCGUCUGGCUUUUUGAUAACAACUUCUGCUUGUAGCAAUUACCUUGUUACAGCAAUUCCGACAGAAAAAAAACAACCGAAUUUUCCCUUGUUAAUUAGCCCUGUUGGAGAGAGCUUGACCUAGCUGUAACAGUCAUAUAGUUCUUGCUUUUCCCGGGGUGCAGCGUAUUUAGUAAGCACGUAUACCUUUCCCCUCUUCCAUUGAUUAUUCCAUUUUUAUAAUACUAGUAGGAUUCUGUUUGAUGUGAUCUCUGUAAAAAUAAUAUCUCUUGAUGUUUUAAUUUAAAGCAGAAGUCUUCUCCCUUGUUCUGACAGAGCAGAUUGCUAAACGCCGUUACAGUACGUGUGCGAAGAUAAGAAAAAAAACAUUUCUUUUGGUCCCCUGGGAGUUAAUCACGGCGAGGAUAGACCGUGUGCAUAAUGAGGGAGUGCAGGAAUUAAGGAGAAGCUGUGCUCUUGGCUGAGACACGGCUCCUGGGUCGUGGUCGUGAGCGAUCGCCAGCGGCACUGCACGUGCAGGGCCCUGCUCAGAUGCUCGGGCACUCGCAGUGCAUUCCCGCAGAUGUGCAGAGCCGCACAGCGCUUCACAGCGAUUUCAACACUACCCUCGCACUUCUCGCUUUGUUUUACCCAGCUUUCUUUUCCUUUACAAGCGGCAAAAAUAACAUACCAAUCAAUGGCAUUCUGAGCGUAAUAAAUUGUCCUAAUUUGUACUACUUAUGCCGUGCUGAGAAUUCAGUGAGGGCCUUUAAGUGCUUUGUUCAAAAAAAAAUCCAACCCAAAACUCAAACUCAGAAAAACUCUACAUGAAAUUCAUAUCUGCUAGGUACGAGCUCUUCAGAAUAUUUCAAUUUUUUUUAAAAAAGAUUUCUUGAAAUUUGUCCUGCGACCAUCUGUAGGCAGAUGUAAAUAAUGUAAAGUUUGAAGAUGCAGAUUUUGGUGUCAUCCGCCUACCAUCAGGGACUGGGAAAAAAUGUUAUCUUUUUUAAAAUCCGCUCUGAAAGGUCAGGUAACUUUAUUGAAUUAAGAAGGAAAUCAAAUUUCUGAAGAUGAUGUCAGAUACUUGUGAAAACCUACUCACCAAACAGUCGUAACUCUGGUCACCAAAUCCCACCCAGCUGUUCCCAGGCAGUAUGGCUGUGGCCAAGGACGGGGGUUUUCUUAUCUUACUGAGCAGUCACCACUGGCCUUUGGUGUGAGAUGCGGUCGUAUCGGCCACAAAAUAUCAUUUGUAAAAUAAAGGCCGCUUCUCCUCUGGUGUUUGUGUUUUUGUGUGCUAGCACAGAGCUUGGGCUUUCAGGAUCACUUUUUUGGGAGUGCCCACGUCUGACUUGGAGCGUAAUGGAGAUGGGGAUGAGAGACAGUCACUCAGCGCUGGACGCGGACACUGCUGGUGUUCCCACAGCACAUCCAAGAUCAUUUUGAAAAUGGGGCCUUUGUCCUGGCAGGGGCUGCCACACGUCCACGGGUUCAUCUGUAACGAUGGGCAACUCCUCUUUGUGACGAGCUCUGCUGCCGGUGUUUUGAGGAUUUUCAUGUUGGCAUGUGUCACUGUCACAUCAGGGUGCUUUCUGUAUCACACUGGUGGCAGCAGUGAUGUUACUACAUGGGCGUCGUGAUUUUUAUAGUAUGUUUUCUUGUUGGAGGUUGGAAUCUGCCUGCGGGCUUUCUGAGGGCUGGUUAUGAAGUCCAAGGGUUGACACCGGUCAGCAGGAAAUGCCAUUUUUAUGGUGGCGAAGGAGCUUUCUUACCUGUUUGAUGGUGCUGGCAUAGCAGAUGGUGGGUGGUGGGCUGUGCCUGCCAGCCCUGAGGCAGGGCUGGAUGCUGCCAGCACCAUCACUGGUGCUUGGCACUGGGCACAUCCCACCACAGGGGCCUCCACAGCGUCCCUGGCAGCACCCCCGGGCUCUGCGCUCACAGCCAACAAAAAGCGCUUCCACAGAAGCACAGAGUAGUGUGGGUUGGAAGGGACCUCAGAGCCCAUCCAGUUCCAACCCCCUGCCAUGGGCAGGGACA